rnacentral:lncRNA from 1 species
CGACACGUCCGAGAGACGCGGCGACCAAGGACGGGCUGCCGUCGGCGGGGUCGGGCCUUGCGGCAGAGGCAAAGACGCGCCACAGGCCGUCGCAAACAAGGCACGCGAGGUCCCUUACGGUCCACGGGCAGUCGUUGGCCAGCACAUAUGCGAUGCACUCGACACGGGCGGAUUCAAUGGCUGCGGCAAGGGUGACGUCGCUCCACGGGCGUCCGUUUUCGUAGAGAUAACGCAGCAUCGCAAGGUCGCCCCUGCGGGCGGCGAUCGUGCACCAGUUGUCGCGACCUCGGUUGGCACUCUCGAAUCGACGCAUGCAUUCAACGUGGCCGGCCCUGACGGCGGCCAAGUCGGUAGACGCACCCGGUCGGACACCGGCAGCGACGACUUUUUCCACACACAAGAGGUGGGCAGCCGUUGCCGGUCCCGUGCAUAGCGGCGCGUCGAGAGACCACGGCCCAUCAGCAAACAAGAGAAUACGGUCGACACAAUUUGUAUGACCGUUGGCAACGGCGACCGCCAGCGCCCUCGCGUCGCAAGGACAGCCGGCCUCAGUGAGACGCACGAGACAUCUGGUGUGGCCUCUCUGGGCUGCCUCAAAGCACGUCGCGCAGCCGUUGAUAAGCGUCGCACACAAACUAGACACGUCGGUGCCGACGAGGCGCCCGUUGGGGCUGCGGCGGCAGACGUAAUCUGCGCGGUUUUGGCGACGGAUAUAAUCGGCGCAUUCUGCGUGCCCGUUGGCGACGGCAAUGUGCAAGAUGCCCGGAGCCCAUUUCCGCGUCGAGUUGUGCUCGUAGAGGCGCCGCAGGCACGAAAGGUGGCCCCUCUCGGCCGCCUCGACAAAUGUCGAUUCGCAGGCGUCGUAGCCCAUAUCCAUGAGCCACUGGAGGAUGUCGGCAUGCCCGUAUUGUGCCGCCCUGUGGAUUAGGCCGCCCAAGGCGACCUUUUCGCGCAUCGCCUUUCGGCAUAGAUGGCGCACGCACGGUAGAUGUCCGGCUAUUGUGGCGCAUUUCAGGGCCCUCCAAAGGCACAAUGGCGACAAUUUUGCGUGGGCGGUCACGCGAAACACGCACAGGCCCCGGAUCGACGGAUCGAGGCAUAUGGCGCGCAAUCGGUGGCAGGCCUGCGCCGGUCCCGCCGUGACCUGGACGCACGAGAGCCAGCCAAACACGACUGCGAGCAUUUCGUCGGGGAGGUUGGCGAUCGUCGCGGUCUUCAUUCUAGGUCGAAUGCGGCUGUUGUCGAUGCAAAAGGAGACUGCGGCCAAGAGACAGAAUGUGCCCUAUUGUCCCGCCAACGAAAAGAAAUUUUUGUUGAUGUUUCCAAUAAGAGCACCAAUUGCGCGGGAGUGAGCCGAAUCGGGCCACUUACGCCGAGACAUUCCUAC